GCUCCGGUGGAGUAGGGGUCAGCGAGCCUGCUCUCCAACUGAAGUGCCAUGGGUUCGAGUCCCACCUCGGGCA